UUUCCGUAGGUGAACCUGCGGAAGGAUCAUUACCGAGUGCGGGACCCUCAGGCCCUACCUCCCACCCUGUGCUUUUUUGACCUUGUUGCCUUGGCGGGUCCGCCUCGCUGAGAGGCCGCCGGAAGCUCACCGCUUUCCGCACGAGCCCGCCGGUAGCCCCCUUAAACUCUUAAUAAACCUGUCCACCGAGUCUAGGUACACUAACAAACACUUUCAACAACGGAUCUCUUGGUACUGGCAUCGUUGAAGAAAGCAGCAGAUCGGAAGAGCAUACGACGG
rnacentral:misc_RNA from 1 species